CAGCCGCCGCGGUAAUACAGAGGGUGCAAGCGUUAAUCGGAUUUACUGGGCGUAAAGGGCGCGUAGGUGGUUAUGUAAGUGAGAUGUGAAAUCCCCGGGCUCAACCUGGGAACUGCAUCUUAUACUGCGUAGCUGGAGUGCAGUAGAGGGUAGUGGAAUUUCCGGUGUAGCGGUGAAAUGCGUAGAUAUCGGAAGGAACACCAGUGGCGAAGGCGGCUACCUGGACUGACACUGACACUUAGGUGCGAAAGCGUGGGGAGCAAACAGGAUUAGAUACCCGUGUAGUCCCUGUCUCUUAUAC
rnacentral:rRNA from 1 species